rnacentral:rRNA from 1 species
UUGUAGCGAAGCAUGCGAAUCCCCGCUGGCGAGAAAAGAUGCUGGCAAUGAUAUGGGCGCCCGUACCGCAAACCGACGCAGGUGGGCGAGGAGAGAAUCCUAAGACGAACGAGAGAACUCUUGUUAAGGAACUCGGCAAAAUGACCACGUAACUUCGGGAGAAGUGGUGCCUCGAAAGAGGCCGCAGAGAAUAGGCCCAAGCGACUGUUUAGCAAAAACACAGGUGUUUGCGAAAGCGAGAGCUGAAGUAUAAGCGCUGACGCCUGCCCGGUGCUGGAAGGUUAAGAGGAGUUGUCAGGCAACGAAGCAGCGAAUCGAAGCCCCAGUAAACGGCGGCCGUAACGAUAACGGUCCUAAGGUAGCGAAAUUCCUUGUCGGGUAAGUUCCGACCCGCACGAAUGGCGUAACGACUUGGGUACUGUCUCAACAAGAGACUCGGUGAAAUUGAAGUAUGUGUGAAGAUGCACAUUACCCGCGACUGGACGGAAAGACCCCGUAGAGCUUUACUGUAGCUUAGCAUUGGAUUUCGAUAAUGGAUGUACAGGAUAGGUGGGAGACUGGGAGACUGUGGCGUCAGCUGCAGAGGAGUCGGUGUUGGGAUACCACUCUUCUGUUAUUGAAAUUCUAACAAGCAGCCGUGAACCGGCGCUUGGACCGUGCUAGGUAGGCAGUUUGACUGGGGCGGUCGCCUCCCAAAGAGUAACGGAGGCGCCCAAAGGUUCCCUCAGAAUGGAUGGAAACCAUUCGAAAAGUGCAAAGGCAGAAGGGAGCCUGACUGCGAGACGGACAGGUCGAGCAGAGAGGAAACUCGGGCUUAGUGAUCCGGCGGUAUUGAGUGGAAAAGCCGUCGCUCAACGGAUAAAAGCUACCUCGGGGAUAACAGGCUGAUCUCCCCCAAGAGUCCACAUCGACGGGGAGGUUUGGCACCUCGAUGUCGGCUCGUCGCAUCCUGGGGCUGAAGCAGGUCCCAAGGGUUUGGCUGUUCGCCAAUUAAAGCGGCACACGAGCUGGGUUCAGAACGUCGUGAGACAGUUCGGUCCCUAUCCAUCGUGGGCGAAGGAAUCAUGAAAGGAGCUGUCCCUAGUACGAGAGGACCGGGAUGGACGCAUCACUGGUGAAACUGUUGUCGUGCCAACGGCAUAGCAGGGAAGCGAAAUGCGGACGGGAUAAACGCUGAAGGCAUCUAAGCGUGAAGCCCACCUUAAGAUAAAGAUUCCCACAGCGUAAGCUGGUAAGACCCCUUGAAGACGACAAGGUUGAUAGGUCAGCGCUGGAAGCGCGGUAACGCGUGGAGGUUGCUGAUACUAAUAGGUCGAGGGCUUGAU